rnacentral:rRNA from 1 species
UACAGAGGUCUCAAGCGUUGUUCGGAUUCAUUGGGCGUAAAGGGUGCGUAGGCGGCGCGGUAAGUCGGGUGUGAAAUCGUCGGGCUUAACUCCGAAACUGCAUUCGAUACUGCCGUGCUUGAGGACUGGAGAGGAGACUGGAAUUUACGGUGUAGCGGUGAAAUGCGUAGAGUAUCGAUAAGGAAGACCAGUGGCGAAGGCGGGUCGCUGGACAAGUUCCUGACGCUGAGGCACGAAGGUCAGGGGAGCAAACGGG